GACUCCCCCGGGGCGUGCAGCUUGCAGCGGGGCUCGAGCCGGGCGGGGGGCGGGCCGACUUCAAAGGCGGGCGGCGGGGCAGGCAUUUCCGCGGCACCUGCAGCGGCGGCCGGUCCUCCUUCCGCGCGCCCGGGAUCCGCCCCCGCCGGGAGCGCCGCUUUCCCAGCCCCGCCGCCGGGAGGCGUGGCCGCGGCCGUGAUUUAGGGCCGGGCGAUUCCGCUGGCGGCCGCCAAGGUGCCAAUUACUGCUCGGCCGGGCCUGGAUUUCAAAAAUUCCUGCUCUUCCCCUGGAAGUUCCGGCGUCGCUCCUCCGAGGGAAGACACAACUCCCACCUUGGAGAGAAAACCGGGAUCCUGGGACGGGCUGUGCGGAGAAACCGAGCCCAGGGUGGUCCCGGGAGCCCCGUCAUCCCAGGAGGCUGGGCUCUAGAAAGGCCGGUAGCCUCCAUCCUCUCCCAGGCCCGGGCCCUCAGCGGUUCAACUUAGAGGUGGCUUCCCUCCUGGUGGCACAAUGACUGCAAGAGCUCCAGGAAUCACACACAUACUCCAUCGUGCACAAACGCGGCAGAGGUUUAUCCCUCAAAUCCUGACCCAUUAGAAACUGUGAAAUAAUAAAUGCUCAUGUGGGGGUUUUUUUAAGCACAUUUCUUC
ensembl:lncRNA